rnacentral:tRNA from 2 species
GACGAGGUGGCCGAGUGGCUAAGGCGAUGGAUUGCUAACCCAUUGUGCAUUGCAUGCGUGGGUUCAAAUCCCAUCCUCGUCG